rnacentral:lncRNA from 1 species
GGUUUCCUUCACCUACACCUGCCAGUCAUUCCGUCUUCUCUCACUUUAUCCCCUUCUCUCUAUGUCUCUCUGGGUUAAACGAGGAAGAUGAAGAAGACAGCGGUGAAGCCAUCGCUCCCACCAUCGCACUAAAUCAGAAGCCCUAAAUCUCAAACAAGAAAUUAACCGAUAACAUAUGCUGGGACAGUUCACUUAAAGAGGUUGGUGUGGAUGAAAGACCGCUGAAGGCGGGACCAAAUUCAGUAGCUUUGAAAAGUGUCGAAACACGAAAAGAGGUACAAUAUGAUUACCAGAUUAAAAGGUGCAUUGGUGCUUGAAGAUAUACAUAUUUUCUACAUAUAUCAGUGGUAAUCACAAAAAGAAAUGAUCACAUCUCACCAUCAAAUUAAAGCCUUGACCGGAGAAAUAACCAUUGUUGGCAACU